UACGUAGGGGGCAAGCGUUGUCCGGAAUCAUUGGGCGUAAAGCGCGUGUAGGCGGUCCGAUCAGUCGGCUGUGAAAGUCCAGGGCUCAACCCUGGGAUGCCGGUCGAUACUGUCGGGCUAGAGUCCGGAAGAGGCGAGUGGAAUUCCCGGUGUAGCGGUGAAAUGCGUAGAGAUCGGCAGGAACACCCAGGGGGAAACCAGUGGACUGGCACGGAGCUGACGCUCAGGUGCGAAAGCGUGGGGAGCGAACCGG
rnacentral:rRNA from 1 species